rnacentral:rRNA from 1 species
UACGGAGGGUGCAAGCGUUAAUCGGAAUUACUGGGCGUAAAGCGUGCGCAGGCGGUUUGUUAAGUCCGUUGUGAAAGCCCCGAGCUCAACUUGGGAAUUGCAGUGGAUACUGGCAGGCUGGAGUACGGUAGAGGAAGGUGGAAUUCCCGGUGUAGCAGUGAAAUGCGUAGAUAUCGGGAGGAACACCAGUGGCGAAGGCGGCCUUCUGGACCAGUACUGACGCUUAUGCACGAAAGCGUGGGGAGCAAACAGG